rnacentral:rRNA from 1 species
CCUACGGGUGGCAGCAGUGGGGAAUAUUGCACAAUGGGGGAAACCCUGAUGCAGCGACGCCGCGUGAGUGAAGAAGUAUUUCGGUAUGGUAAGCUCUAUCAGCAGGGAAGAAAAUGACGGUACCUGAUUAAGAAGCCCCGGCUAACUACGUGCCAGCAGCCGCGGUUAUACGGAGGGGGCAAGCGUUAUCCGGAUUUACUGGGUGUAAAGGGAGCGUAGACGGCAGCACAAGUCUGGAGUGAAAUGCCGGGGCUUAACCCCGGAACUGCUGUUGAAACUGUGCAGCUAGAGUGCAGGAGAGGUAAGUGGAAUGCCUAGUGUAGCGGUGAAAUGCGUAGAUAUUAGGAGGAACACCAGUGGCGAAGGCGGCUUACCGGACUGUAACUGACGUUGAGGCUCGAAAGCGUGGGGAGCGAACAGGAUUAGAUACCCGUGUAGUC